rnacentral:rRNA from 1 species
AUUCCUUCAUCACUCGCCCGCCGCGCGCGGCGGGCGGGGCGGGGGCACGGGGGGACUCCUACGGGAGGCAGCAGUGGGGAAUAUUGCACAAUGGGCGAAAGCCUGAUGCAGCAACGCCGCGUGAGUGAUGAAGGUCUUCGGAUUGUAAAGCUCUGUCUUUUGGGACGAUAAUGACGGUACCAAAGGAGGAAGCCACGGCUAACUACGUGCCAGCAGCCGCGGUAAUC